CAGCAGCCGCGGUAAUACAGAGGGUGCGAGCGUUAAUCGGAUUUACUGGGCGUAAAGCGUGCGUAGGCGGCUUUUUAAGUCGGAUGUGAAAUCCCUGAGCUUAACUUAGGAAUUGCAUUCGAUACUGGGAAGCUAGAGUAUGGGAGAGGAUGGUAGAAUUCCAGGUGUAGCGGUGAAAUGCGUAGAGAUCUGGAGGAAUACCGAUGGCGAAGGCAGCCAUCUGGCCUAAUACUGACGCUGAGGUACGAAAGCAUGGGGAGCAAACAGGAUUAGAUACCGCGUAGUCCCUGUCUCUUAUACA
rnacentral:rRNA from 1 species